GACAGAGGGUGCUAGCGUUGUUCGGAAUUACUGGGCGUAAAGGGCGCGUAGGCGGCUAUGUAAGUCAGACGUUAAAUACCUGGGCUCAACCUAGGAAUCGCGUUUGAUACUGUGUAGCUAGAGGAUGGAAGAGGAGAGUGGAAUUCCUAGUGUAGAGGUGAAAUUCGUAGAUAUUAGGAAGAACACCAGUGGCGAAGGCGGCUCUCUGGUCCAUUACUGACGCUAAGGCGCGAAAGCGUGGGGAGCAAACAGG
rnacentral:rRNA from 1 species